rnacentral:ncRNA from 2 species
UGCUUAUCAAGAGAGACUGAGGGAACAGGCCCUGUGAAGUCCGGCAACCUCCUUAAAUGGAACGGUGCUAAAUCCUGCAGAAUGAUUGUUCAUUCUGGAAGAUAAGUC